rnacentral:rRNA from 1 species
UACGUAGGGUGCAAGCGUUGUCCGGAAUUAUUGGGCGUAAAGAGCUCGUAGGCGGCUAGUCGCGUCGGCUGUGAAAACCUGGGGCUCAACCCCGGGCCUGCAGACGAUACGGGCUAGCUAGAAUUCGGUAGGGGAGACUGGAAUUCCUGGUGUAGCGGUGAAAUGCGCAGAUAUCAGGAGGAACACCGGUGGCGAAGGCGGGUCUCUGGGCCGAUAUUGACGCUGAGGAGCGAAAGCAUGGGGAGCGAACAGG